ensembl:lncRNA
GAAGCUCUUUUGACAGUGCAGGGCUACUGAAGUGGGGCCCUCUGGCACUCCUAAAAUCUGACCCAAGUCACAAACCCUCUCCUGUAGAGACUCAUGUGGGCACAUCCUCACCCCAUUUGUUUUCAGUUCAAGGGAGAUCAUGGGACCCCUGAUGCGCACUUGAGACCCACCCUAGUUAAAAAGUCCUACUUCCAUCUCUUUCAACCCUUCCAGGCGCUGGGGGUCCCAGGCCGAGUCAACAGCUCCGGCUACAUUGUGGUGAACUCCACGGCCAUGGACGCUCAGGUGCUGGUCACCGUGGAUGCCAGCACGCUACGGGGGCUGCUUGUCCUCAGUACCACCGAGACCCAGCAGGAGGUGAACUUGCUGCUCACACACAACCUGCCUCAGCCCAACCCCUUGGCCCUCCCAGCCCAGAUCCUGCUGUACCUGACCAACGAGAGGCUCGGGCCCAGCUACAGACACACCCUGCGGGUCGGAGUGGAUGGCAAAGAGGUCUCUGCGGACGUUGACAGCAGCGGCGCUGGCUUUGAGAAUUCAGGACGCGUCUCGUCGGGGUCCACGUCUCUGAACUACUCCGUGAGCUGCCAUCACCGAGAUGGGCGCCUGGAGUUCUCUGGUUGGAGCGAGCACAACAGCUGGGCCCUGCGGCAGGCGGGGUUCCCUGGAGAGGCCCGCCUGGGCGCCGAGCUGCAGAUGCAGAGUAAGGCGGCUGGACCCUGCCCGGGAGUGGGAGUCGGCCCCCCUACACUGACACCUGCCCGCCAGCCUCAGGCCCGGCGUGACCCUGAGUUCCAGGACUAACCAGGAUGCCCUUGGCCUUGGAACCUGACUCUUAAAGGAGUGGGUAUUCACUUCCCGGGGUGGCCAAGGGAACGUACCAUAAAACGGGUGGCUUAAAACAACAGAAAUUUAUUCUCCCAACUUCUAAAGGCUGGAAGUCAGAAAUAAGGUGUGGUCAGGGCCAUGCUCCCUCCAGAGUCUUUAGGAUUCAACCCUUACUGGCCUCUGCCAGCUCCUGGUAGCCCCAGGCAUUCUUGCACUUACGGCUGUAUAAUCCUGGUUUCUGCCCUCGAGUCUGCCUUUCUUUCUGUAAGGAUGCUAGCCAUUGGAUUAUGGCCCAUCCCAACCCGGCACCUCACCUUGGCUUGCUUCGUGUUUAGUCGUUAAGUUGUGUCCGACUCUUGCGACCCCGUGGACUGUAUCCCACCAGGCUCUGUCCAUGGGAUUCUUCAGGCAAGAUGACUAGAAUGGGUUGCUACUUUCUUCACCAGGGGAUCUUCCCGACCCAGGGACUGAAUCCGGGUCUCCUGCAUUGCAGGUGGAUUCUUUACCAACUGAGCCACCAAUCCUAUUUCCAAAUAAGGGCACAUCCACACGUCCUGGGAGUUAGGACUUCAAACAUAAUUUUUAAGGGGAAAUAGUUUAACCCAUACUGGAGGAAGAAGGGAAGGUAACAGUAAUAAGAGUCAGUGUUUUUGUUAUUGUUUGGUUUGGUUUUUUUUUAAUGAGGAAUUUUAUUUUUAUUUGUUUAUUUGGCCACACUGGGUCUUAGCUGUGACACCUGGGAUCUUUAGUCGCAGCAUGCGAGCUCUUAGUUGCGGCAGGUGGGAUCUAGUUCCCUGACCAGGGAUCAAACCCAGGCUCCCCACAUUGGGACUUGUGGAGUCUUAGCCCCUGGGCCACCAGAGAAGUCCCAAGAGCUGGCGUUGAUUGAGUGACUGUGUGUAUGUAAUCACUGAGGCAAGCUCUCAGUACAUAGCUCAGUGAGUCUGCUCGACAACCCCGUUCACACCAAGGGAAG